rnacentral:rRNA from 1 species
AACGAACGCUGGCGGCAGGCCUAACACAUGCCAGUCGAGCGCGCCCUUCGGGGUGAGCGGCGGACGGGUGAGUAACGCGUGGGAACGUGCCCUUUUCUACGGAAUAGCCUCGGGAAACUGAGAGUAAUACCGUAUACGCCCUUUGGGGGAAAGAUUUAUCGGAAAAGGAUCGGCCCGCGUUGGAUUAGGUAGUUGGUGGGGUAAUGGCCUACCAAGCCGACGAUCCAUAGCUGGUUUGAGAGGAUGAUCAGCCACACUGGGACUGAGACACGGCCCAGACUCCUACGGGAGGCAGCAGUGGGGAAUCUUAGACAAUGGGGGCAACCCUGAUCGAGCCAUGCCGCGUGAGUGAUGAAGGCCUUAGGGUUGUAAAGCUCUUUCAGCUGGGAAGAUAAUGACGGUACCAGCAGAAGAAGCCCCGGCUAACUCCGUG